GACGAACGCUGGCGGCGUGCUUAACACAUGCAAGUCGAACGGAAAGGCCCCUUCGGGGGUACUCGAGUGGCGAACAGGUGAGUAACACGUGAGUAACCUGCCCUUGACUUCGGGAUAACUUCAGGAAACUGGGGCUAAUACCGGAUAGGAAUCCUUGCUGCAUGGUGGGGGUUGGAAAGCUUCGGCGGUUUUGGAUGGACUCGCGGCUUAUCAGCUUGUUGGUGGGGUAGUGGCUUACCAAGGCUUUGACGGGCAGCCGGCCUGAGAGGGCGACCGGCCACAUUGGGACUGGGGAACGGCCCAGACUCCUGCGGGGGGCAACAGGGGGGAAUAUUGCACAAUGGGCGGGAGCCUGAUGCAGCAACGCCGCGUGCGGGAGGACGGCCUUCGGGUUGUAAACCGCUUUCAGCAGGGGCGAAGCUUGUGGUGACGGUACCUGCAGAAGAAGCACCGGCUAACUACGUG
rnacentral:rRNA from 1 species